rnacentral:lncRNA from 1 species
AAAAUAGAAAAGAAGGAGUUAAUUACUCUUUUUUAAUGAUUUCAUUUUUGUGGAAAACAAAAAGAAAUAAGUAUGAUAAAAAGAAACCGAGUCUUAAGGUAUAAAAAAAAUCGAAUAUUCCAUCACACUAUUUUCUAGUUUGUUCUUUUUUCGACAGUACCCUUAAAUAAUAAAAUUUUUCAUCCCCUCUCUCUAAGGAGAAGUUGGAUCUUUCUUUGGAUUAAAAACAAAACGGGACGCAUAUAUUAAAAGUUCCGUGUUCAAUUUUAAUGAGAUAGAUUGUUUAA